UGCGAAAUCCCUCCCUCCUACAGAAAUGAAAAUCAAGCUAGAGAAAUCCAACCGACGCUUCAUCAGUCCAUGCUUCUUAACUCCAACAAUGCCUACAAUCUGCUUCUAAUUUCCUCACUUCAGCAUCGCAAAGUCAGUACAUAAUAUCUUCACACUGUCUCUGUCCUAGUCUGUUUCGAUUAAGAGAUAUAAUCUUCCAUGGCUAUAGAGAAAGAAUUCAUCUCACACGAUCUACCUACACAUGAACAUCAACAAAGGAAUAUAGCUGUAGAAAAACACAAAAAGCAGGCCCAGAAGUGCAUGCAGAGAGAUUUCGAUGUUUACAGGCUUCUCUUGAAAGGGACAACGACCGAUUUCUUAAAGAUAAGUAGCCCCUUAUUAAUUCAAAACUAUGAAACUCUCGCUAAAAGAUUAAUUUCUAGACUUAGAAUAUGUAGGAAAUAAAUUUAUGUGUUGUACACACUUAUUAGCAAAAGUUUUUUUUUUUUUUUUUUGGGUGCUAAAAAAGGCAUAAAUGUGUCUAGCUUAUAUGAUUACUACCUGCUAGACUGUUUGUAGGCAUCAAUUUCCUAUCUUAUUAGGAUUGAAAAAAAUUACUGAUAUUCUGUUUUUUUUUUGUUCUUGUUCUUUAAUUUUUUAUUUUUUUGGUACUGAAUGUUAUCUAUUUCCUAUGCUUUUAGUGAAUUUUUGUUUUAGAUAUGCCAUUACAUUUGAAUUCUCAUAUGGAAUAUUUGAAUAGUAUGUGCAUUAUUAACUCUUUUCUGUAUUUUUGUAUAAAGGAAUAUAUGGGAAGUGGAAAUGAAGCAGGAAAUGUUCAAUUUAUGGAUGAAAGGUAAGCCAAGUAAGCCAUGGUAUGAAAUCAAGCUGCCAGCGGGGAGAACCUAAACACACUUAUCACCAGGUGCUGCAUAUGUUCACACCAAGCGGAGACUAUUUGCUUUGGUCAUAAAAUCUGGGUUUAGUUGAGAUGCAAGAACAAAUUGGCCAGCCAUUCUAAAGAGAUCAGCUGUGUAUGUGAAUGGCGCAAUGUAAUUGCAUGUAUAUAUAUAUACAACGAAAGUAAUCAUCA